AGGCAGCAGUGGGGAAUCUUGCACAAUGGGGSRAAGCCUGAUCCAGCCAUGCCGCGUGAGUGAUGAAGGCCUUAGGGUUGUAAAGCUCUUUCACCCGGGAUGAUAAUGACGGUACCNGGAGAAUAAGCCCCGGCUAACUCCGUGCCAGCAGCCGCGGUAAUACGAAGGGGGCUAGCGUUGUUCGGAAUUACUGGGCGUAAAGCGCACGUAGGCGGAUUUUUAAGUCAGGGGUGAAAUCCCGGGGCUCAACCNCGGAACUGCCUUUGAAACUGGAUGUCUUGAAUCCGGGAGAGGUGAGUGGAAUUCCGAGUGUAGAGGUGAAAUUCGUAGAUAUUCGGAAGAACACCAGUGGCGAAGGCGGCUCACUGGACCGGUACUGACGCUGAGGUGCGAAASCGUGGGGAGCAAACAGGAUUAGAUACCCCUGGUAGA
rnacentral:rRNA from 1 species